GGGAAGGUGGCUCACUGGUAGAGUGCUUGCCUUGCAUGCAUGAGGCCCUGGGUUCAAUUCCUCACCAUCACA
rnacentral:tRNA from 1 species